UACGUAGGGUGCAAGCGUUAAUCGGAAUUACUGGGCAUAAAGCGUGCGCAGGCGGCUUUGCAAGACAGAUGUGAAAUCCCCGGGCUCAACCUGGGAACUGCAUUUGUGACUGCAAGGCUAGAGUACGGUAGAGGGGGAUGGAAUUCCGCGUGUAGCAGUGAAAUGCGUAGAUAUGCGGAGGAACACCGAUGGCGAAGGCAAUCCCCUGGACCUGUACUGACGCUCAUGCACGAAAGCGUGGGGAGCAAACAGG
rnacentral:rRNA from 1 species